rnacentral:lncRNA from 8 species
AUCUCAAUUCACUUCGUUCGGAGAGCUAACUAGAGGGCUGAAAAGGCACUAUGCCUCAUUCAAAGUUGAAUUGGUUUACCACUACGACUCGAUGGGGCUUGUUGGAUGCUGCAAAACGGAGGGUGAGGGCUAAGGUGGGGUAUUGGGAUUGAGUCUAAGUCUUGUCACAGCCACUAUAUACAUUCCUCCCUCUGUUAUCUCCAGUGUUUUCUCCAGAGUGUAAAUGUUUUCUUUUUCUGAUAUGCACAUUUUCCUUUUUCACUCUUAUGCUUUAUUUCAGCUAGACAAGAUGAACACUAUGGGGUAUUUCCUGAUGAUGCUUAUAGAUUGGAAGACCAAGGCCAAAAAAGCCAAUCUAUAAAGCAGACUGGCAUGCCCCAAAGGAUCUCGUUUGGUCUCGGCGUCAUCUGACUUGGAGAGUUGUGGACAAAGCCUAUUAAUAUUUGGUUCUCAGUUUCUCAACAACACUCGAGGCCACUGCCAGCAGCACACACUCUGAUGCCUUUCGGGCACUUGUCUUGAUUCCAGUCAUUCAUUCCUCGUAAGAGACGUGAUGAAAGCAGAGGUUGAUGGUGGAGGUCGCCGCUUGAUUAAUGUGAGUAAUUCAUGGUCUCUCACUCCCCAGUAGCCUAUUGCUAUACAGACAACAACUAACUUAGAACUCUCUUGUCUUUCUUCUCAUUUAUAGGUUGGAUCCCAUAAGACCCAAGGGUUUGGAAAAGUCCCACUCGUUGGGAAAAGUCCUAUUGAUUCCAGAGGAGUAGAGCUGGAUGGCGAGGCUGCUGGCCCGCUGUGGGUAACUCUUCUUCCACAAUUUGGCUCGAGUAGAAGCGAAGCUCCUUCCGCUCUUCAAGGAGGCCUGAUCAUAGUCCUGCCACCUCCCCGGGAACUGUCCCACCUUCAACCACAAAUGCUGGCCACUCGCAAGCGAGAUGAAAAAGUUUCUAAGGCCACAAUGUGGUCACCGCCGAGUGGUUUUAUCAUCCCUGUGCCAUUAACUCUAAAAUGACCAGAGGAUUUGCCAUGGAGGAGGAGGAGAAGGAGAUUUAAGGAGGUGAUUUGUUUCACACUGCAAAAUCCUAGCACAAGCCUGGACCAACAGGCAGCUAAUGAAGAGGGCCCUGGAGGAGGAAGUGGAAAGGCAGGAGGGAGAGGAGAGCUAGGAGGAAAGUGAGGAAGU